UACCUGUUUCCACAGCUCGUAUACUACGAUUGGAACAAUACAGAGGAAGAUGAGCGUGACCCCUUCCCAAGGAUAACACGCAACUUCAUGAAGCAUUUUGUCUUUUU
ensembl:snRNA U6 U6 spliceosomal RNA